AGCUGAAUAGUUUAAUUGGUUAAAACAUCGGAUUCAUAAGCCGAAAUUAAGGUUUCGAGUACCUUUUCAGCUA
rnacentral:tRNA from 1 species